UGAGGAAUAUUGCGCAAUGGGGGCAACCCUGACGCAGCGACGCCGCGUGAGUGAGGAAGGCCUUCGGGUCGUAAAGCUCUGUCAAAGGGAAAGAAAUGCAUAAUGGCUAAUACCUGUUAUGUUUGACGGUACCCUUAAAGGAAGCACCGGCUAACUCCGUGCCAGCAGCCGCGGUAAUACGGAGGGUGCAAGCGUUGUUCGGAAUUACUGGGCGUAAAGGGCGCGUAGGCGGUUUGAUAAGUCAGAUGUGAAAGCCCACGGCUUAACUGUGGAAGUGCAUUUGAAACUGUCAGACUUGAGUACCAGAGGGGAAAGUGGAAUUCCCGGUGUGGAGUUGAAAUUCGUAGAUAUCGGGAGGAAUAGCGGUGGCGAAAGCGACUUUCUGGCUGGAUACGGACGCUGAGGCGCGAAAGCGUGGGGAGCAAACA
rnacentral:rRNA from 1 species